GUAGAGAAUAUUGCGCAAUGGGGGAAACCCUGACGCAGCGACGCCGCGUGAGUGAUGAAGGCCUUCGGGUCGUAAAGCUCUGUUGCAGGGGAAUAAAAAAAUGAAGGUACCCUGUGAGGAAGGAUCGGCUAACUUCGUGCCAGCAGCCGCGGUAAGACGAGGGAUCCUAGCGUUGCUCGGAAUCAUUGGGCGUAAAGAGGGCGUAGGUGGCUUGGUAAGUCAGGUGUGAAAGCCCAGGGCUCAACCCUGGAAGUGCAUUUGAUACUGCUGAGCUUGAGUGUCGGAGAGGUUACCGGAAUACCUGGUGUAGUGGUGAAAUACGUAGAUAUCAGGUGGAACACCGGAGGCGAAGGCGGGUAACUGGACGAACACUGACACUGAGGCCCGAAAGCGUGGGGAUCAAACAGGAUUAGAUACCCCAGUAGUCC
rnacentral:rRNA from 1 species